UACGGAGGGUGCAAGCGUUACUCGGAAUCACUGGGCGUAAAGAGUGCGCAGGCGGGCUUGUAAGUCAGAUGUGAAAUCCUGUAGCUUAACUACAGAACUGCAUUUGAAACUAUGAGUCUAGAGUGUGGGAGGGGCAGGCGGAAUUCCUGGUGUAGCGGUGAAAUGCGUAGAUAUCAGGAGGAACACCGGCGGCGAAGGCGGCCUGCUGGACAAUAACUGACGCUGAGGCGCGAAAGCGUGGGGAGCAAACAGG
rnacentral:rRNA from 1 species